GUACAUAGUUCAGAAACUAGCACUUAUGAGAGAACACUUCUCAUUAAACAUCUUCAGAAUUAAAUCUUACUGGCACAUUGUUUUCUUGUGUAUAAUCUUCUCACCUUUCUAUGUUUUCAUUAAAUGGAAAAGUUUAAAUAAAAUCACAGAGUGUUCUCCUUAUAAACAUUCAACUUCAAACUACUUCCUCCAUUUGAACACGACCCUCACCUAGAAAUCAAAAUAAAGGUCUCAGAAGUACAUAUUUAGGGCAGGAGCUGUUAGGUGAGGAGAUGGUAAUCUUGUGGGUCAUUCCUAGGAUUCUGGGUCAUUCCCUAAUCUCUGAAUUUAUGUGUACUCAAUGGACUGACAUUUAUUGUACUUUUAUCAAAUUAAUCUAAAUAGCAUUCCAUAUAUAUGUUCUCUGUUAUCUAAAAGCAGAGUAAGUAGGAAUUCAUUUUCUUUUAUUUAUGUGAUUAUUUUUCUCCUAAGUAAUCUUCAAGUGAGGUAUAGUCUCUAAAGGUAUUAUUUAACUGUCACAUGUAGUAAGUUGUAUAUCAUUUCUAUGAUAACAUCUCUUGUUUAACUUAAGCAUCAAUAAUAUUUUACUUAUUUCAGAUGCAGCAGAAGUUGGAAAAGAGUAGAACUAGAGAACUAGAAGAAGGAAGAACUCCAAACACCCACAUCAAUUUGGGUCCCGCCAAAGAAGUCGGCCUUAUCUCUUCACCACCCUCCUCUGCCCCUCAGCCCUGCAUCUAACCAGCCAGACUGUGUAGGAUCCCACAGGAGUGCUUCCUCACCUCCGGUCUUUGUACGUGCAUCUCCCCUUCGCCUGCUGCGCUUUCUCCUCUCCUUCAGGUGCUGCUGAAUUUGAAUCUGAAUACUUCUAGAGUGUCCUCUCUAUUAUCUACAGGUGGACCAAAUCUAUACCAGGCCCUACCUGUGAAAAAUAAGAUAUACAGAUUUUAGUAUGACAAAAACCACUGCAAUGUUGUAAAGUAAUUAGCCUCCAACUAAUAAAAAUAAAUGGAAAAAAAAAAGAUAUACAGAUUUUGAAGAAAAAAUAUAUCAUUUGAAAACUCAAUAGUAAAAAUUUCCCUGUUUCCUUGACAUGUUUAGUUCUCAUUAAACAUCAUGAGAAAAUCUUUAUUAAAGGAAAGUAUUCUUGUAUUGUGUAUGUAUCAUGAAACUUUAUAUGGCAUUUUAAGCCAUGUUUCUCUACGUCUAACUUACUUUUAAGCAGAAACAUUAGCACUGUUGAGUUUUCCGUAUUCAAAGUCAACGUGUUAGUCACUCAGUCAUGUCCGACUCUUUACGAGCCCAUGGACUGUAGCCCACCAGGCUCCUAUGU